AAAUAAAAAAAAGUGCCCCUUUCUCUGUGUCUCGCUCUGCAGCUCCAUGGCCGGUUUCGAAGCUCCAUCGUUCUCUCUGGGACUCGAUCUCGAACUAGAUUUCGAUUUGGAGCCCCGAUCCAAUUCUAAUGGUACGCAACAACACUCUUUAUACAACCAUGCUCCUAGAAACCUUACAGUUGAAUUCGAAGCGUAUGUCUCCGACUCUGAUCCGGAGGUCUCGGCGCCGGCUCUCAAGCGUCUCCGGAGAGGGCCCGGGAGGGCCCAUAGGAGCGAGCUAGCGGAGGCGUGGUGUAAUGUCGAUGAGGAAAUCGAAGAGUUUUCUUCGCAGGAGGGUUUUAGGAGAGAUGAGCAUCCAUCAACACAAUAUCAUUCAGUGUGUAGCAGUUCAAAGUUCCCAUUGCGAGCAUCUGGGGUUUUAACCAGUCGGUCAGCAAGUCAUAGGAAAGCAGGUAAAAGGGAGCAGGCUUCAAAUCACCCAGCUUCUUCUAGUUUGGAGACAAGCAGCAGCAAACUGAUGUUUCCAAAAUUAACUAUCAGUCCACUUAGAAGGUUUCAGUUGCUUGAUUCUGAUGAUGAUGAUCCUUCUGUCAUUGAAGAUGCAAAUCAAGAGGCUAAGAACACCCAUCCAUCUGCAAAAGUGAGACAGACUAACCAUAGGCAAUAUUCAUGUGCAAGUGAAGAGAAGAGUACAAAAACAUCUGUAAGUAUGCCUCAGAAUGUGGAUUUAUGGAAAGACUUCUGUCCCAAUAGGAGUGUUGGCAUUCCCACACCUGCUCUGGAUGAGGUCUGUGAAGAAUACUUCAGGUCUGUGAAGGACAAGAAUGUAACUGUGAAACUGGGCAGUGAUGGGUGCAUAAGUAAUGAGAAGAGGUCUUAUCAGAAUAAAAAUAACAGGAAAACUGUACAGCACCAAUUGGACUUAGCAGAUCCUCUUCCUUCAGCCCAUUGUUACUUUUUCCAUGCUGAUCCAAGGAUUCAGAAACUAGUCCGCAGUCGCUUACCCAACUUUUCUCCACUGGGUGUUGUUAGUAACACAAAUAUGCAACAUGGUGCAUCAGUCAUUGAUUACAUGAGUCAAUUUAGCCAUGGAGAAGCUUCAAAGAAGCAGGUUAAUCAGGAUGUUAGCAUUGGGAGAAGUACAAUGCAGGCCAGAAAGAAUGCUAGAAAGUUAAAUGCUGAUGAAGCCUUAAAUGCUUCUGGAAGCUGGGUGAACCCCAAAAGCUGUGCUAGUAUUCCUAAGAAAGCUGGCAAAGGACAGGUUCAUGCAAAUGGUCAAUCUGCUAGUAGGUGGUAUACUUCCCCAGAUGGAAGGAAGGUUUAUGUCACUAAAAGUGGCCAGGAGUUGACAGGUUCAAUGGCCUAUAGACAUUACAAGAAGGACAAUGGAGUCAGAUCUAAAAAGUCAAAGGGGAAAACUACAGCUAGAAGGACUUCUAAGAAGAAACAAAAAACCUGAAGGGUCUGCACUAAAAUAUGAAGCUGCUGUGUGGAUUGAAUUAUUGACGGCUUUGGCUCAAAAGAACUGCUGCCAUGAACCUGUUUAGCAGAAAACAUUAUGUGCAGUUCACUCACUAAUCAAGGCAUGGUUAUGCUUUUGGCAGGGAUUUAUAGAGUGAUGAAAUGCAAAGCCACAACAUGGUUUUCCAUGCUUGCCAUGUAAUUACUUAUCAUUAUCAUAAAUGAAAAUUACAAACGGAUGCACUUGUUUCCAAUACAAUGGGGAAUUUUAUGAAUGGUCUGCUGCCCAAGUGCCUGAAUUCUCAACAAUGGGAGAAAGUUGGAGCACCAGAUUCAGAAUUGCCCUUGGGCUUAUAGACCUCCUUAAAAAGAAUGUAUUAUGUAGACCCAUGUGGUUGUGUGUAAACUGGACAUCAUUUUCCCUUCAAAUUUGUCAGUUCAGUUGUAACAUUUGAAUGAAAUGUACCUAGAAUGGAGAGAUUCAAGUGUAUUGCACUUCUGCUUUUGAUUGUAUGGACAUGUCAUAAAGGGAACUAUGUAUAUUGCACCUAAGUUUUUGACUGUAUUAUCAUUGCAAAAAUAGAGUUACAAAUUAUUCACGGCA